UUAACUGAUCUAAUGUUAGUAUACAUACUUUGAUACUGCACUUUAUACCAACUAAUUCCAUAUAAAUAUAUAUAGAUACCCUCAUCACCCUUUAUUUCUACAAUGAAAUAAUCUAUAAUCAGCUGAAGGUCAACCUUCGCGGAUAAAUUGCGACUACAAUAGUAUAAUGGAGAUAACGAUGUUUGUAUCAUAUGACUGUAGUGCAGUUUAUAUGCAUGUGACAAACACUGAAAAUAACAAUUGUUUGACAGAGAUUACUUCUUAAUUGUGAUGGAUAGUGUAGAAGGAAAGAGGAUGAGUGAUAUCUGCCAACCUUGCCAGGAGGCAAAUACAUGUACAAGGACUAAAGCGGAUGGAUUAUGCCGAGAGUGUAAGGAAUAUAUGUGCCAGACAUGUUUCCACCAUCAUCUAAAAGCAAAAUAUUGCAGAACCCAUGUGUUGCUCGAUUUAUCAGAAGCAGAACAUACACACACAAGUGGGGAAGAUGUUGAAAAAUGCGAAAAACACCAAUUCGAAACUGUCCGUUUUUACUGUCGGAAGCAUGACCAAGUAGGCUGUGGCGACUGUAUGUUAUUUAACGGACACAGUACAUGUAAUCCUGAAUAUAUAAAGGAUGUUUCAUUGAACUUUAAACAUGGGGAAGACUUUAAACAUCUGACAGAGAAGCUAGAGACUUUAGAGUCAGACAAUAAGUCUAUAGUCAUAAACAUUCAGAAGUGUAUGAAAGACAAUAAUGAGAUGGGCAGAAAACUAGUUGAUGAUGUCGAAACAUUUCGAAAAAGUAUCAAUAGUUAUUUGGAUAAAGCCCAAGCUGAUUGCUAAUCAUACGUUAACAAAUUGCAUUCGAAAAAUGAUAAUUUACUAAAAAAAAUAGAAGCUGGCUGCCAGAAUGUUGUCUCAGAAAUAGAAGAGCACAAGCAAAAAUUAGACAGUGACCAUAACCCGGAUCAUAUAUUGUUCAUUCAUUCAGUUAUAGUUAAAUCUAAACUGCAGCCGAUCGAAGAUACCAUAAGCAAAAACAAGUCUUCAAGUAAAAUUGACCAUAUUGCAUUCAAACCUGGUAAGCAAUUAAGUGAAAUCGUAACAAAAUCUAAUUGCUUUGGGUGUUUCGAACAGGUGCCUUCUCGAGAAAUGGGCAUUUCCUCAGGCAUACGAGUUAACACAGCGGAUAGGGUAAUAGUGAAGAGAACCGGUACAACCACUGCUUGCAAAGACGCGAAUUCGGCAUGUGUCAAAAAUCAAAACAUCGUCACACUGUCAAAGAAGCUUCUGGAAACUUUUGGAUCUUCGUCAAACUUCAGUCCACUGAUCAAACAAAAACAUAUUUCGUUGAUCCAUGUGAAACUAUUUCUGUACUCAAAGCUAAGAUUCACCACAAAGAGGGCAUCCCUGUUGACAUGGUAAAGCUGAAAUUAAUAUUACCUUUCCUUGGGAAACUACUUGACGACAAAUUCAGUAUUGGGGAUUAUGGUAUACAGAAAGGAAAUACGUUGAACUGCUUUUGGAGGUUGGAUGCGCCAUCAGAAGAAAAAACAUCAUAAUAUCAGAUCAUUUACACUAAGAAAAUAUUUACAAGCAUUUGACAUAACACUAAGUUCACUGUUAAUGUCUAAUUAUUGGUUAUACUUGUAAAAGAAUAAAAGAAAAUGAAUCUGGA
rnacentral:lncRNA from 1 species